CAUAUCAAUAAGCGGAGGAAAAGAAACUAACAAGGAUUCCCCUAGUAACUGCGAGUGAAGCGGGAAAAGCUCAAAUUUAAAAUCUGUCAGUCUUUGGCUGUCCGAGUUGUAAUCUAGAGAAGUGUUAUCCGCGCUGGACCGUGUACAAGUCUCCUGGAAUGGAGCGUCAUAGAGGGUGAGAAUCCCGUCUUUGACACGGACUGCCAGGGCUUUGUGAUGUGCUCUCAAAGAGUCGAGUUGUUUGGGAAUGCAGCUCAAAAUGGGUGGUAAAUUCCAUCUAAAGCUAAAUAUUGGCGAGAGACCGAUAGCGAACAAGUACCGUGAGGGAAAGAUGAAAAGAACUUUGGAAAGAGAGUUAAACAGUACGUGAAAUUGCUGAAAGGGAAACGCUUGAAGUCAGUCGCGUUGUCCAGGGAUCAACCUUGCUUUUGCUUGGUGUACUUUCUGGUUGACGGGUCAGCAUCAAUUUUGACCAUUGGAAAAAUAUCAGGGGAAUGUGGCAUCUUCGGAUGUGUUAUAGCCCUUGGUUGUAUACAAUGGUUGGGAUUGAGGAACUCAGCACGCCGCAAGGCCGGGUUUUUAACCACGUACGUGCUUAGGAUGCUGGCAAAAUGGCUUUAAUCGACCCGUCUUGAAACACGGACCAAGGAGUCUAACAUACCUGCGAGUGUUUGGGUGGAAAACCCGAGCGCGUAAUGAAAGUGAAAGUUGAGAUCCCUGUCAUGGGGAGCAUCGACGCCCGGACCAGACCUUUUGUGACGGUUCCGCGGUAGAGCAUGUAUGUUGGGACCCGAAAGAUGGUGAACUAUGCCUGAAUAGGGUGAAGCCAGAGGAAACUCUGGUGGAGGCUCGUAGCGAUUCUGACGUGCAAAUCGAUCGUCAAAUUUGGGUAUA
rnacentral:rRNA from 1 species